rnacentral:rRNA from 1 species
ACGAACGCUGGCGGCGUGCCUAACACAUGCAAGUCGAGCGGAGUCGAUCGACGGAAGCCUUCGGGCGGAAGAUGGUUGACUUAGCGGCGGAUGGGUGAGUAACGCGUGGGCAACCUGCCUCGAAGACCGGGAUAACAGCCCGAAAGGGCUGCUAAUACCGGAUGUGGUCAAGGAUCCGCAUGGAUUUUGAUUAAAGGGGAAACCCGUUUCGAGAUGGGCCCGCGUCCUAUCAGCUAGUUGGUGAGGUAAAAGCUCACCAAGGCGACGACGGGUAGCCGGCCUGAGAGGGUGACCGGCCACACUGGAACUGAGACACGGUCCAGACUCCUACGGGGGGCAGCAGUGGGGAAUCUUCCACAAUGGGCGAAAGCCUGAUGGAGCGACGCCGCGUGAGCGAAGAAGGCCUUCGGGUUGUAAAGCUCUGUCUGGAGGGACGAAGGAAGUGACGGUACCUCCGGAGGAAGCCACGGCUAACUACGUG